GCGCCCAUAGCACAAUGGAUAGAGCAGCGGAUUUUGAUUCCACCAGGCGGAGGUUCGAUCCCUCCCGCCCCA
rnacentral:tRNA from 1 species